UCAAACUUGGUCAUUUAGAGGAAGUAAAAGUCGUAACAAGGUUUCCGUAGGUGAGUACAUGUGUCUAACCCUCGCCGCCUGAUCGGGUCGGUGCUAACUAAAACAGGUGAACCUGCGGAAGGAUCAUUACCGAGUAUCGGGUGCUCUCGCGCCCUGCUCCCACCCUAUGCUUAUCUAUAACCGUUGCUUUGGCGGGCCGGUGAGUCACUCACCGCCGGGCGGCGCCUGGAGAGCGCCCGCCAGAGGACCAAGCAAAACUCUGUCAACCUGUCGCAUCUGAGCACGCGAGAAUGAACAAAACUUUCAACAACGGAUCUCUUGGUUCUGGCAUCGAUGAAGAACGCAGC
rnacentral:misc_RNA from 1 species